GAUGAAGAACGCAGCGAAAUGCGAUAAGUAAUGUGAAUUGCAGAAUUCAGUGAAUCAUCGAAUCUUUGAACGCACAUUGCGCCCGCUAGUAUUCUGGCGGGCAUGCCUGUUCGAGCGUCAUUUCAACCAUCAAGCCCUGCUUAGGCUUGUGUUGGGGCCCUGCGGUUGCCGCAGCCCCCUAAAUGCAGUGGCGGGCUCGUUGUCACUCCGAGCGCAGUAGCGUAUCUCGCUCUGGGCGUGGCGGCGGGUGCUAGCCGUGAAACACCCACUAAGGUUGACCUCGGAUCAGGUAGGAAUACCCACUGAACUUAAGCAUAUCAAUAAGCGGAGGA
rnacentral:misc_RNA from 1 species